rnacentral:rRNA from 2 species
UACGGGGGGGGCAAGCGUUGUUCGGAAUUACUGGGCGUAAAGGGCUCGUAGGCGGCCUCCUAAGUCAGACGUGAAAGCCCUCGGCUCAACCGGGGAACGGCGUCUGAGACUGGAAGGCUUGAAUCCGGGAGAGGGAUGCGGAAUUCCAGGUGUAGCGGUGAAAUGCGUAGAUAUCUGGAGGAACACCGGUGGCGAAGGCGGCAUCCUGGACCGGUAUUGACGCUGAGGAGCGAAAGCCAGGGGAGCAAACGGG